CCUUAAAGGGGAAGGAAAGGUUAAAACACUGGGGGCUGCCCAUGGUAGGCACCUCCAGAAAUUAUUAUAAUUUAACUGAUAACCCAGGCCAGUGCUCCCAUCAGCAGAAAACCUGGGGUUCUUCUCAUGGAGUGAUCUCCUUCUGCUUCUUUUUUCUUCAAUGGCCGUGGGUUGAUGCAUGUACAGUAGAGUGAAAAGGCUGGUGGGAAGACAGAAGGCGCAGGAAGAAGAAGAUCGAUCCAUGAUGCUCGCUCAGUGGUACCCCAGCUUGGUGCAAUUUUCUACUAACAGGAGCAUCGGCCCCGGGUAUCAGUUCUGCAGAGAUGGGAGGCGAGUCGAAGGACACAAUUGGAGCACUUUUAGAGAUAAAGACUAUUCCAGUACUGUACCUGUCAUGGAGCUGGUACCUUUCUCGCACCUCUUCUAAAAUGAUUCGUUUUGGUCCCUCUCCCCCGAUAAUGAAAUGGAGAUUUGGGUAUCUCUGACACAUUUCAGGAAUAAUACCGCCCAGCAAAUCAAUUCCUGCAGCAAAGAGAAGUGUAUGUGAAGCAAGCUGAGGUUGGGCAUGAUUGUAGGCACCCCAAGUACAGAUCUGUGCCAUAGCCCAUAUAGACCAAUUGCCUCCACAAAAAUAUAAAUAAAAAUGUUUAUCCAGUUA